GUCUCCUUGAAAGAUUUAAAUCCCAACAGCCCAGGGUGGGGACCACAUUGCAAGGAACUGUGGGCAGCCUCUUGAAGCUGAGAGCAGAAUUCAGCCAAUGGCAAGAAGCCAGGCACCUCAAUCCUGCAGCCACAAGGAAAUGAAUCCUGCUAGCAACCCGAGAAGGCUUAGAAAUGGAUCCUUCCCCAGUCGAGCCUCUGAUGAGACCAUAGUCCUGGUUGACACCAAAACUGUAACCUUGUAAGAAACCCUAAUGCAGGGGCCCCAGCUAAGCCAUGCUCAGAUUCCCAAUCCAUGGGAACUGUGAGAUAAUAAAUGUG
rnacentral:lncRNA from 1 species